UACGGAAGGCAGCAGUGGGGAAUAUUGCACAAUGGGCGCAAGCCUGAUGCAGCCAUGCCGCGUGUAUGAAGAAGGCCUUCGGGUUGUAAAGUACUUUCAGUCGUGAGGAGGUGUUAAGGUUAAUAACCUUAGCAAUUGACGUUAGCGACAGAAGAAGCACCGGCUAACUCCGUGCCAGCAGCCGCGGUAAUACGGAGGGUGCGAGCGUUAAUCGGAAUUACUGGGCGUAAAGGGCACGCAGGCGGUUAAUUAAGUUGGAUGUGAAAUCCCCGGGCUUAACCUGGGGAUGGCAUUCAAGACUGGUUAGCUAGAGUCUUGUAGAGGGGGUAGAAUUCCAUGUGUAGCGGUGAAAUGCGUAGAGAUGUGGAGGAAUACCGGUGGCGAAGGCGGCCCCUGGACAAAGGACUGACGCUCAUGUGCGAAAGCGUGGGGAGCAAACAGGGAUUAGAUACC
rnacentral:rRNA from 1 species